GGACAGUCAUCGCCGAGUCCCGCAGGCGCGAGCCUGGGGGAGCCGGGGACCCGCCCUCCUCGCCUUCGGGCAGGAGGACCUUCCCCAGGGGUGAAUCGGGUGCCUCGCGAGAGGGGCCCGUAGGAGACCUUCCUGCUCCGAACCCGUCAGCUAACCCGGUAGGCGAGAAGGAAGGAAAG
rnacentral:sRNA from 2 species